AGGACGAACGCUGGCGGCGUGCCUAACACAUGCAAGUCGAACGCGCUCCAUUCGGUAGCAAUACUGAUGAAGAGCGAGUGGCGAACGGGUGAGUAGCACGUGAGCAACCUGCCCCGAAGACUGGGACAACACCGGGAAACCGGUGCUAAUACCGGAUAUCCCUAUCGGACCGCAUGAUCCGAUAAGGAAAUGUUUUUUCGCUUCGGGAGGGGCUCGCGGCCUAUCAGCUAGUUGGUGGGGUAAUGGCCCACCAAGGCAUCGACGGGUAGCUGGUCUGAGAGGACGAUCAGCCACACUGGGACUGAGACACGGCCCAGACUCCUACGGGAGGCAGCAGUGGGGAAUCUUGCGCAAUGGGCGAAAGCCUGACGCAGCAACGCCGCGUGGAGGACGAAGGCUUUCUGAGUUGUAAACUCCUUUCAGCAGGGACGAUUGUGACGGUACCUGCAGAAGAGCACCGGCAACUACAUGCCAGCAGCCGCGGUAA
rnacentral:rRNA from 1 species